rnacentral:antisense_RNA from 1 species
GGGGGAGAAUGGGCAUCCCACCCCAGCACUUUCUAGGAAGAAGGGCAACAUUUUGAAGGGCUGGAAGUAGAGAAAGAAGGUUGCGGGUAGAAGACUCCAUACUUUCUGUGACGCCUAUUCCUUAGCUUGUGAUGAAUGUUUUCUCAGUAUCCUAUGCUGAAAACAGGUAGAUACUAAUCCCUCCUUCAAGGGAGGGCUGUUGAGUAUUGAAUAAGAUAAAAACAUGGAAGCAAUCAGCACAAUGCUGCAGGAGGAAAAACAUCUGAAGAAUAUAUUUGUAGACUUCCUGGAAAUUGAUAAGUUGUCUCCAUAACUAAAGCAAGCAGAUUUUACUAAUUGGAAUUAUCUACAUAAUUUUACUUCAUUCACUUCUUUCUGUCAUACUAGGAGAGCUUUUAUAUAACCAAAGAUAUUUUUGGACCAUGAAUUCGGAAAUUCUCGGAGCCACCCAUCAAUGCCUGAGCUUCAGUGAGUCCAUAUCCCAUGUCACCUACGGCAAAGGAGAAUCUGAGACUUCUGAAGAGUUUCUUGCUUCUUUCCUGUGGGGCAGUGACUCCACUUCCCAGCAGUAAUGGAAUAUCCUGAAUUAGCUACAUUAAUGUUAGAACCAUUUGGACCUCACCCAGGACUUCAACUACAUUGUGAGUAACUCCUGGACGACUGGCACAGAAGAAGGCACAAGGCAAAUACCCAUCUCUGUACACCCUGUGCUACUGUGUCAUGUGCUGCUCCAGGCAACUCCAAUGGAUUGGCCACCCUGGCCAAUGUGUUCUAGUAUGUUAGGUUUAUGUUCCCCUGCUUUCUACAAUCCUGUUCAAAGAGUUGCUGACUUAACCACAGAGAGAAUUCCAGAACAUGAGACACAGAAUAAACUUGAACAAUCAUAGUCCAUCCACUUCAUUUUCUCAUCGAAAACCAAAGGUCCAGUGAGGCUCUGGAAC